AUCUGUUCCCUCCAUUCUCCUAGCUCCAUCGGCUGCCAACCUAAGGCCAUCGCCUGCCUCCAUCACCCCUUCGCCUGCCUGCCUACCACCCAGUCCCAAAUGGGUGCUGGAUCAGGUGCCGAAUCUGGCUGCCUCCUCGGGUCCUCCUUCCCAUCCCCUCUUAGGCAUGGAGAGAUGAAGGACAGAUGGAGUACCGCAUAAGGACACAAUGGAGGGAGCAGGCCAUGACUAAGACCCCAAGGAUGAAGAAUGGAGAGCCCUGACCGUCCUCCAGGCCCCCAGUCAAGUCCCUGCUGAAGAUGGCUAUACCCUCUAGCCUGGGAGGACCAUGACCCAACAAUGGCGGUGGGAGAGAAGAUGACUUUGUGAAGGACACUCUCCGUUAUCUGUGAUGACAUACACCAGCCCCUGAACAAUUUAACCUUAAGCUGCCCUCGGCAAGACUUCGGUAGCACUGGAUUUCUCUCAUUCCCGGGAGGCAGAGUUGUUAGCCAUCAAUCUGGAAGAUCUGAAGGAAAAUUUGGCUUUGGGUAAAGUCAAAGGGGAUGGCUCUCAGAGAUGAGGCCUGUUCAUGAGGAGUAAGCAGGGCUUUGCUGCCUGCGCCAGGCAGAGCUGCCCUGGGCUGGGGGGAGUUUUGACGUCAACAUCUCUGGAAGCAGAAAGCAGCUUCAGAAGAAGCAAGGUUUUGCCAGGAAAAAAGAAAACAGGAGGUCUUCAGUCAA